CCUACGGGAGGCAGCAGUGAGGAAUAUUGGUCAAUGGGCGCGAGCCUGAACCAGCCAAGUCGCGUGAAGGAUGACUGUUCUAUGGGUCGUAAACCUCUUUUAUAAGGGAAUAAAGUGUGGCACGUGUCCUAUUUUGUAUGUACUUUAUGAAUAAGGAUCGGCUAACUCCGUGCCAGCAGCCGCGGUAAUACGGAGGAUCCGAGCGUUAUCCGGAUUUAUUGGGUUUAAAGGGUGCGUAGAUGGGUUGUUAAGUCAGCGGUGAAAGUCUGCGGCUCAACCAUAGAAUUGCAGUUGAAACUGGGGGUCUUGAGUAUGUUUGAGGUAGGCGGAAUGCGUGGUGUAGCGGUGAAAUGCUUAGAUAUCACGCAGAACCCCGAUUGCGAAGGCAGCUUGCUAAGC
rnacentral:rRNA from 1 species